UACUACUCAUCCAAAGCUAACAAGUGAGAUAUUUGUCCACUUGGCUUAUACUCAUCAUAAAAAGCAUUAGUCACUACUGUAAAAUGUAACUAAUUCUUACACUUUAGUCAUUUUACACUUAGGUUAGCCUUGAAAAUCAAAUGAAUUUGUAUUGAAAUGUUUUAGUUCCAUAACAUUCUAGAUUCCUCCUAUUCAUUCAAAUGCGGAGGACAGGGGGAUAGGAUUGUAGGCCAGUUCUUUCUGGAAGAAAGAAGGCUUUUAGUUCCUAUUUGCAUGAAUCUCUGGGGAGCUAAUGGGCAUAAGGAAGCAGUAAGAAAAAAAAAAUGGGUAAUGCCUUUCUGUUCUAGUCCAAGAGAAUGGAAAUAUUCCUUGAAGAAACAAGAAAUUUUCACAAAGGAAAUGGUUCAAAUUUGCACAAGGAGGAGGAGACUGAGCAUCUAAUUCAUGCAAUUGGGAGUAAAGUGAGCUAUGAGAUGGAGCAGGGGGUCCAGGAGUUAGAUGGUUCAGUGGAGAGAGUGCCAGACCUGGUAUCAGGAAGAUCUGAGUUCAAAUCCAGCCUCAGACACUUACUAGUUGCCUGUUUGCCUCAGUUUUCUCAUCUGUAAAAUGAGCAGGAGAAGGGAAGGGCACACCACUGCAGUAUCUCUGACAAGAAAAAGUCAAAUGAGGUCACAAAGAUUAAGACAUAAUUGAACAACAAAAAGAGGAGGGAAGAAGACGGGAAACUGGGGAGAUAGACUAGAGAAGGAUGAGUAAGAGUAACUGGUAUGGGUCCGAGGAAGAAACAUGUUCUAUUGGGGUUGUAUUUGCCCUGACAGAGAACCCAUGCAGAAUGUGAAAUGUCUGCUUCCUUUCUCCCCCUCUCCUUCUGUCUCUGCAAGCAGAUAUUAAACCCAAAGUUUUCCUGUUCUUUAAAGACAUAGAGAUAUGGAUAUAGUUUUUGUUUAAUUAGACUGCUUUCUGGCUAAUUAAACUCUGAUCGUGACCGUUUCUAAACUUUGGGCAUCUCUGUUGUGAGAGCCCAGAGAAAAAGGAAGCGAUGAUGGCCACAUACAUAGCUGGAAGUCAAACAGACAGAAGUUUGGGUCCUCGUCUAAAUACUCUACAUCCGAUCUUUUUUAAAGUAUUUUUGUAAGGCGGCUUGUCUGGGUGUUCCCAGAUUGCCCAUCAGGUAAGCCCUGUAGCUGCCUUUAACUAGCUGCUUAGCCUAAAUGGAGACUGUAUCUUUAAAACUGGCCAGAAUGAGGCAGAGAACCGCAGAGCAGGAACCGGUGAGAGGGGGAGGACUUCUUUACCCUCGUUCUGAGAACUGAACCUGGAUCCAUAGGUUUCUGGUCUCUGUUGUUUUCCUUUCUCAGUUUCAGGUGCCAGUGGUGAUCUUCAUUGGACCGACCGGAGCUGAGAGUUCAAGCCACGGCAAGUUUGGAGCUAGAAUUCCAGGAAGGACCUUGCAGCCAGCCUGUCAACCUGCCAGUCAGGGAAACCUGAAGAAACCACAGUGCCCAGAACUCAAGCCUAGGGGAGGUUUCAGAGUUGGAAUUGCGACUGUCCUCUAUAGAAACGGAGCUAAGAAUUGGAGUACAAGAAACCCUUUGAAGGAAUCUUUGAAGAGGGAGGGCUGGAGCCAUUUGUAGAGUUCGAGACUUUCUCAAUCUCCUUAAGGAUAUCAGGGAACCCCGGAGGAAGGAUGAAAUGGAAUACACCUCACCUGCCAGCAAUGGGGUCAAG